AUAGAUAGAACCAUUAUUAAUACAAAUGGGACCAAACAUAUAUGUACGGAGCGAUCAUGUUGAAUGUACAAUGCGCAUUUGUUUCUUGUACGAUGAAAAUUGAAGCAUAUGAGUUCUUUAUAAAUUGUGAAUUCUGGUGACCUCUUAGAACCACGCCUAUCUAUGAACAUUUAAGUCAAGUUGAAAUCUACUUCUCCUUCAAUUCAGGUGGUGUUCAUUGGACCUUAUGCUGAAAUUUAUGGGUUCAUGGAAGACGUGAAGAAAUGGAACCAUGAUAGGAAGGCUGUGAUGGUCAUGGAAAGGUAUGAAACCUUCGUAGAAGCUUUUGGUGCCUCUUGUUUGUUCGAGGAUACUGGUUGUGCUUUUACAAGGAAGAAGGUGAGAUAUCGCUGCAAUUGCAUGGACUUUUUGUCGUUCAGGUUCGAGGGUGAGUAUGAGCCACUUGGAAUAGUUUAUCUGAACAUGCACUUCAAAGGGAGAGUUCUAGAAUGGGAAAACUUUCAAGAGAAGUAGAGGCGGAAGAGGACGCUGGAGAUAAGCAUGCCGAAGUAUCUUCUAAGAAGGUUGACCCUAAGAAGAAAGAGCCAGCUAAGUGAGAAACGUACGUCAUAUCUGUGUCUUUUGUAUGGGUGUCGUCUAUUUCACGUACUGCUUUGUUUAGGUUCCCAGUUUUUAAAUUUUCUUUUUAGGUUGUCAUUGUUGUGGUGUAUUUUCAUUUUAUUUAGACUUUAUCGUAUUGUUCGACUUUUGCUUUAGUAAUUCCAGUUCCAUUUUCCU